AGACCCGAAACCCGGUGAUCUAGCCAUGGGCAGGUUGAAGGUUGGGUAACACUAACUGGAGGACCGAACCGACUAAUGUUGAAAAAUUAGCGGAUGACCUGUGGCUGGGGGUGAAAGGCCAAUCAAACCGGGAGAUAGCUGGUUCUCCCCGAAAGCUAUUUAGGUAGCGCCUCGUGAAUUCAUCUCCGGGGGUAGAGCACUGUUUCGGCUAGGGGGCCAUCCCGGCUUACCAACCCGAUGCAAACUGCGAAUACCGGAGAAUGUUAUCACGGGAGACACACGGCGGGUGCUAACGUCCGUCGUGAAGAGGGAAACAACCCAGACCGCCAGCUAAGGUCCCAAAGUCAUGGUUAAGUGGGAAACGAUGUGGGAAGGCCCAGACAGCCAGGAUGUUGGCUUAGAAGCAGCCAUCAUUUAAAGAAAGCGUAAUAGCUCACUGGUCGAGUCGGCCUGCGCGGAAGAUGUAACGGGGCUAAACCAUGCACCGAAGCUGCGGCAGCGAACGUAUCACUUAAAGCGAUUCAGCGGGUUACGAUUGACGGAGCGAAGCGACGUCAAAGCGUAUACAAAGUCGAGUCGGUUUAAGGAUACGUUCGUUGGGUAGGGGAGCGUUCUGUAAGCCUGUGAAGGUGUGUCGUGAGGCAUGCUGGAGGUAUCAGAAGUGCGAAUGCUGACAUAAGUAACGAUAAAGCGGGUGAAAAGCCCGCUCGCCGGAAGACCAAGGGUUCCUGUCCAACGUUAAUCGGGGCAGGGUGAGUCGACCCCUAAGGCGAGGCCGAAAGGCGUAGUCGAUGGGAAACGGGUUAAUAUUCCCGUACUUGGUGUUACUGCGAAGGGGGGACGGAGAAGGCUAUGUUGGCCGGGCGACGGUUGUCCCGGUUUAAGCGUGUAGGCUGGUUUUCCAGGCAAAUCCGGAAAAUCAAGGCUGAGGCGUGAUGACGAGGCACUACGGUGCUGAAGCAACAAAUGCCCU
rnacentral:rRNA from 1 species